rnacentral:rRNA from 1 species
CCUACGUGAGGCAGCAGUGAGGAAUAUUGGUCAAUGGGCGGGAGCCUGAACCAGCCAAGUCGCGUGAGGGAAGACGGUCCUAUGGAUUGUAAACCUCUUUAGGCGGGGAGCAAUGCCGGGCACGCGUGCCAGGAGGGAGAGUACCCGCAGAAUAAGAAUAGGCUAACUCCGUGCCAGCAGCAGCGGUAAUACGGAGGUGGCGAGCGUUAUCCGGUUUUAUUGGGUUUAAAGGGUGCGUAGGCGGAUUUUUAAGUCAGCGGUAAAAUGUCCGGGCUCAACCCGGGCCGGCCGUUGAAACUGGGGAUCUUGAGUGGGCGAGAAGUAGGCGGAAUGCGUGGUGUAGCGGUGAAAUGCAUAGAUAUCACGCAGAACUCCGAUUGCGAAGGCAGCAUACCGGCGCCCGACUGACGCUGAGGCACGAAAGCGUGGGGAUCGAACAGGAUUAGAUACCCCGGUAGUC